rnacentral:rRNA from 1 species
UACGGAGGAUCCAAGCGUUAUCCGGAUUUAUUGGGUUUAAAGGGUGCGUAGGCGGCCUAUUAAGUCAGGGGUGAAAGACGGUAGCUUAACUAUCGCAGUGCCUUUGAUACUGAUGGGCUUGAAUACACUAGAGGUAGGCGGAAUGUGACAAGUAGCGGUGAAAUGCAUAGAUAUGUCACAGAACACCAAUUGCGAAGGCAGCUUACUACGGUGCAAUUGACGCUGAGGCACGAAAGCGUGGGGAUCAAACAGG